AAUCAGAAAGCAUGACAGCAAAAAGAGAAAACAUGACGGCAAAUAAGAAAACACAACAUUAACCAUUGUGUUUUCUGAUUUGCUGUUGUGUUUUCUCUUUUUGCUGUUGUGCUUUCUGAUU